CCUACCAUGCAGUCGAACGAACCCUUCGGGGUUAGUGGCGCACGGGUGCGUAACGCGUGGGAAUCUGCCCUUUGCUUCGGAAUAACAGUUAGAAAUGACUGCUAAUACCGGAUGAUGUCUUCGGACCAAAGAUUUAUCGGCAAGGGAUGAGCCCGCGUAGGAUUAGGUAGUUGGUGGGGUAAAGGCCUACCAAGCCGACGAUCCUUAGCUGGUCUGAGAGGAUGAUCAGCCACACUGGGACUGAGACACGGCCCAGACUCCUACGGGAGGCAGCAGUGGGGAGUAUUGGACAAUGGGCGCAAGCCUGAUCCAGCAAUGCCGCGUGAGUGAUGAAGGCCUUCGGGUCGUAAAGCUCUUUUACCAGGGAUGAUAAUGACAGUACCUGGAGAAUAAGCUCCGGCUAACUCCGUGCCAGCAGCCGCGGUAAUACGGAGGGAGCUAGCGUUGUUCGGAAUUACUGGGCGUAAAGCGCACGUAGGCGGCGACACAAGUCAGAGGUGAAAGCCCGGGGCUCAACCCCGGAACUGCCUUUGAAGCUAGGUUGCUAGAAUCUUGGAGAGGUCAGUGGAAUUCCGAGUGUAGAGGUGAAAUUCGUAGAUAUUCGGAAGAACACCAGUGGCGAAGGCGACUGACUGGACAAGUAUUGACGCUCAGGUG
rnacentral:rRNA from 1 species